UACGGGGGGGGCAAGCGUUGUUCGGAAUUACUGGGCGUAAAGGGUUCGUAGGUGGCCCGCUAAGUCAGACGUGAAAUCCCUCAGCUCAACUGGGGAACUGCGUCUGAGACUGGCAGGCUUGAGUGCAGGAGAGGAACGCGGAAUUCCAGGUGUAGCGGUGAAAUGCGUAGAUAUCUGGAGGAACACCGGUGGCGAAGGCGGCGUUCUGGACUGUUACUGACACUGAGGAACGAAAGCCAGGGGAGCAAACGGGG
rnacentral:rRNA from 1 species